CGGGGUGCAGCAGGCGCGAAAACUUUACAAUGCCGGCAACGGCGAUAAGGGAACCUCGAGUGCCAGGUUACAAAUCUGGCUGUCGUGAUGCCUAAAAAGCAUUGCAUAGCAAGGGCCGGGCAAGACCGGUGCCAGCCGCCGCGGUAACACCGGCGGCCCGAGUGGUAACCGUUAUUAUUGGGUCUAAAGGGUCUGUAGCCGGCCGGGUAAGUCUCUUGGGAAAUCUGGCAGCUUAACUGUCAGGCUUUCAGGAGAUACUGCCUGGCUCGAGGCCGGGAGAGGUGAGAGGUACUUCAGGGGUAGGGGUGAAAUCUUGUAAUCCUCGAAGGACCACCAGUGGCGAAGGCGUCUCACCAGAACGGACCUGACGGCAAGGGACGAAAGCUAGGGGCACGAACCGGAUUAGAUACCCGGGUAGUCCUAGCCGUAAACGAUACUCGCUAGGUGUCGGCCACGGUGCGACCGUGGUCGGUGCCGUAGGGAAGCCGUGAAGCGAGCCACCUGGGAAGUACGGCCGCAAGGCUGAAACUUAAAGGAAUUGGCGGGGAGCAC
rnacentral:rRNA from 1 species